rnacentral:rRNA from 1 species
UACGUAGGGUGCAAGCGUUUGUCCGGAAUUAUUGGGCGUAAAGAGCUCGUAGGCGGUUUGUCGCGUCUGCUGUGAAAACUCGAGGCUCAACCUCGGGCUUGCAGUGGAUACGGGCAGACUAGAGUCCGGAAGAGGAGUGUGGAAUUCCCGGUGUAGCGGUGAAAUGCGCAGAUAUCGGGAAGAACACCCGUGGCGAAGGCGGCACUCUGGGACGGUACUGACGCUGAGACGCGAAAGCGUGGGGAGCGAACAGG